UAGAUACAGCAAUUUUUGCAUGAUACUGAGCUGCACAAGUAAACCGAAAACUGCUGUGAGCUAUGAUGAAUUCUCAUGAGAGCCACAGCAAAAGAAUGCAGCUGGGAAAUGCGGAGAGUGGAAAGGGAAGGAGUUCAAAAGGAAAUGGCUCCAGGGGUGCCAGAGCGUGUGUGAAUACGGAUGCCUAAAAAGGCAGACAAGAAUCCUCGCAUGCAUGGAGGGUGUUCUCCUAAACAAAGUAAUGCUCUGGUUAAUAAUGAAGACUUCUGAGGGAUUACAGUACUUUGAAACACGACACAUACAACAAAGAAAUCAACCCUGAGUGCUCACUGGAAGGACA